rnacentral:lncRNA from 1 species
AGAGAUGAUAGACAAUGGGAGAAAAAUCACACAGUCAUCCUUUUCUGUCUUCUCUUUUUCUCUAACAGUAUAAAUGUCGGAAAAAGAAAAAAAAAGAACCCAAACUUUUACAAGGAAGAAUUCACAAUUCUCAGGCAAACAUCUCCAGUAAGACAGACACUCUGUCUCAUUGUAAGCAAGAGUGGCACCCUUAGGAGAUAAGAAUUGGAUAGGAUUAUGCAGAAGAUGGAAGACCAGGAGAGGAGCAUUUAAACAUAUUAGGGAAGGAUGUCGAGAGAAUUAAUGACCUAUAUUUUGGAGUCUCUCAGAGCUGUGUAAACAAAAAGAAGUGGCAAUAAUUGAAGAGGGCAGAAGGAAAUGGAUUCUGGUACAGAAAUCAACGAACCAAAGACUUCAGCUGGAGCCCAAAUCCACACACACGAUACUGAAGACAAAGUGCCCAUCCCUGAGGAGUUUACAAAAUUAGCAACUUGGAGGUGAAGGUGAGUAUUUGGGGAAACAAAAUCCCUAGAAUAGGCUGACUGUUGUUUUCAGGUAUAGCAUGGUUGAAGUUUUCACGUAUAGCAUGGUUGAAAUGGGGCGCUAGAGCAAUGAAUACAUGGUAUUACUUGGUAUCUCACCACAGCUCCUGGAGCUUUGAUGGAAUUGUGUGUAGAUUAAGGGUAGGAUAUUGAGCAAGGUGUACUUCAUCCAGUUCCAAAGUUUGC